GCCUCCCAAAGUGCUUGGAUUACGUGCAUGAGCCACCGUGACCAGCUGACCAUCUCUCAUUAUUAAUAAGAACAUCACAGACAGGAUUCCACAUAUUUAUAAAAUUUCAUGUUAUCUCAAAGGUGGAGCUCCGGUUUCUUGCUGAGCCAGGAAUCACCUAUUACUAUCUGAUUUGCGGGGGACACAAAGAAGGAGGAAAAAUCACCAGGGUGAAGGAAGGCAUGAAGAGAAGGAAAAAGAAAACAAAAUGAACAGAAGAUAAAAAUCCAUGUUACAGACAUUGUACAUGAGAUGUCACAAUGCUGUAGUUCCUGGGACAAGGGAAAUCAUGGACAAAAGCUCAUUUAACCCCAGCUUUCUGCUUGGAGGCACUUCAAGACCAUCAUACAAGGAGAAUGAUCCCAAGUAAAGCGAGUGAGUUUUAUUGAAUUAAAUAGAUAUCAGAAUUUGAAGAGGAUGAAAUAGCUAGAAAUUGAAUAGCUGAGAAUGAGGUGGUUUUUCAUACACAAAACUUCAGGAAUCUUCAUAUGGACAUAAUUAGGUGAUACAGAAAACUAUGUUUGAAGGCAUUACAGAAAUUUUACAAUGUCAGGAAAAGAACAACUGAGAAUAAAUGAGCCAAAGUUUUGGAAAUGUAUACAGAGCUGGGUGACCUUCACAUUCAAACAAAGCAGAGUGAAGAAUCUUUAUCAAACUCCUCAGUCAUUAAGAAGAGACCUAGAUUGUCAUUCAGGUGAGACUUUAGUAAUAUUAAAGUAGACUUAAAAACUAAAAACCACUCUAAAACUCCUCUACCAAAGUUGAAAAUAAGUCACAAAAGGAUCAAGCUGGGUAAACUGUAGGUUAGCUGAUUGCCAGAAAAAAUAGGGACAUUCUUUGGGAUAGGGAGGAUAAUAAAAUCUGUUACACACACCAAAAAUAGAAAAAACAAAAUGCUCAAUAUUCAAUAAAAAAUCAAUAGUAAUAAAAGAAGGAAAGUAUGACCCUAAAGCAAGAGAAAAUCAGUAAAUAGAAACAGAGUCCAUAUUAUAGAAACAAACCUUAAAAAGCUAUUAUAAAUAUACUUUAUUCACUCAACAAUGUUGAAUAUAACAUUAACACAAGGAGAUAAAAUAGACCACAUCAAAAAAGCCAAGUAGAACUUCCCAAGAUAAAAACAUAUAUGAAAUUCAAUAUUCAUUGGAUGAGAUUUAGAACAUACUAUAUACACUAGAGAAAAAAGAACAGUGAAUUUACACAUAUAGAAUGAAGAGAUAAAAAUUACAGCAAAGGCCGGACAUGAUGGCUCACGCCUGUAAUCCCAGCACUUUGGGAGACUGAGGAGGGCAGAUCACGAGGUCAGGAGAUUGAGAACAUCCUGGCUAACACGGUGAAACCCCGUCUCUACUAAAAAACACAAAAAUAGCCUGGCGUGGUGGUGGGUGCCUGUAGUCCCAGCUACUGGGGAGGUUGAGGCAGGAGAAUGGCGUGAACCUGGGAGGCAGAGCUUGCAGUGAGCUGAGAUGGCACCACUGCACUCCAGCCUGGGCAGCAGAGCAAGACUCCAUCUCAAAAAAAAAAAAAAAAUUGCAGCAAAAACAACCUCAGUGAUCUCUGGAAAAAUGUUAAGUGGACUAACAGGCAUGUAACAGGAGUGCCAAGAAAAUCAACAAAACAGAAAACUAUUUGAAGAAAUAAAGAAUAAAGCUUUCAAAAUCCAAAGGAAAAUUACAGUGUCACAGAUUCAAAAUCUCAAUGAAUUCAAGACCAAUAAACACAGAGAAUAUCACCUCAAGAGACAAGACAUCACACAUAAGUUGUUAAAACCCUGUGAUAAAGAUAAUUUGUUAUAACCUUGAGAGAAAAUGAUACAUUACAAAGAAAGAAAGAUAAGAAUUUCGCUAGACUACUUAUCAUUAAUUAUCCUUGCCAGCAAUGAAAAAGCAUCUGUAAGGUUAAAAAUAAACCUAUUAAUGAUAGAUUCUAGAUAGAGUGAUAGUUGUUUUCCAGAUGAAGUAAAUGAAGACUUUAUCGCACAAUGCAAAGCCUGAGAAAAUUAAUAUACUGUGAGCAAACCUGAACUAUAAAAAUGUAAAAAAAAAAAAAUGGGGGCUGAAGGAAAAUAAUAAAAGAUGAAAACUUGGAUCAGCACAAAGGAAUAAAAAGCCCAAAGAAUGGUAACUGUCAGGGCUCUGAGCCCAAGCCAAGCCAUCGCAUCCCCUGUGACUUGCAUGUAUACGCCCAGAUGGCCUGAAGUAACUGAAGAAUCACAAAAGAAGUGAAAAGGCCCUGCCCUGCCUUAAUUGAUGACAUUCCACCAUUGUGAUUUGUUCCUGCCCCACCUUAACUGAGUGAUUAACCCUGUGAAUUUCCUUCUCCUGGCUCAGAAGCUCCCCCACUGAGCACCUUGUGACCCCCGCCCCUGCCCACCAGAGAACAACCCCCUUUGACUGUAAUUUUCCAUUACCUUCCCAAAUCCUAUAAAAUGGCCCCACCCCUAUCUCCCUUGGCUGACUCUCUUUUCAGACUCAGCCCACCUGCACCCAGGUGAAAUAAACAGCUUUAUUGCUCACACAAAGCCUGUUUGGUGGUCUCUUCACAUGGACGCGCAUGAAAUUUGGUGCCGUGACUUGGAUCAGGGGACCUCCCUUGGGAGAUCAGUCCCCUCCUCCUGCUCUUUGCUCCAUGAGAAAGAUCCACCUAUGACCUCAGGUCCUCAGACUGACCAGCCCAAGAAACAUCUCACCAAUUUCAAAUCUGGUAAGCGGCCUCUUUUUACUCUCUUCUCCAACUUCCCUCACUAUCCCUCAACUUCUUUCUCCUUUCAAUCUUGGCGCCACACUUCAAUCUCUCCCUUCUCUUAAUUUCAAUUCCUUUCAUUUUCUGGUAGAGAUAAAGGAGACAUGUUUUAUCCGUGGACCCAAAACUCUGGCGCCAGUCAUGGACUGGGAAGGCAGCCUUCCCUUGGUGUUUAAUCAUUGCAGGGACGCCUUUCUGAUUAUUCAUCCACGUUUCAAAGGUGUCAGACCACGCAGGGACGCCUGCCUUGGUCCUUCACCCUUAGUGGCAAGUCCCACUUUUCUGGGGGAGGGGCAAGUACCCCAACCCCUUCUCUCCAUGUCUCUACCCCUUCUCUGCUUUUCUGGGGGAGGGGCAAGUACCCCUCAACCCCUUCUCCUUCACCCUUAGCGGCAAGUCCCGCUUUUCUGGGGGAGGGGCAAGUACCCCAACCCCUUCUCUUGGUGUCUCUAUCCCUUCUCUGCUUUUCUGGGGGAGGGGCAAGUACCCCAACCCUUUCUCUCUGUGUCUCUACCCCUUCUCUGCUUUUCUGGGGGAGGGGCAAGUACCCCAACACCUUCUCUCCGUGUCUUUACCCCUUCUCUGCUUUUCUUGGGGAGGGGCAAGUACCCCUCAACCCCUUCUCCUUCACCCUUUGCGGCAAGUCCCGCUUUUCUGGGGGAGGGGCAAGUACCCCUCAACUCCUUCUCCUUCACCGUUAGCAGCAAGUCCCGCUUUUCUAGGGGGCAAGAACCCCCAAUCCGUUAUUCCCACACCCCGACCUCUUAUCUCUGUGCCCCAAUCCCUUAUUUCUGUGCCCCAACCCUUUCUCUGCUUUUCUGGGAGGCAACAAACCCUCACUCCUUCUCCGUGUCUCUACUCUUUUCUCUGGGCUUGCCUCCUUCACUAUGGGCAAGCUUCCACCUUCCAUUCCUCCUUCUUCUCCCUUAGCCUGUAUUCUUAAGAACUUCAGACCUCUUCAGCUCUCACCUGACCUGAAAUCUAAGCGUCUUUUUUUCUUCUGCAAUGCCGCUUGACCCCAAUACAAACUGGACAGUAGUUCCAAAUAGCUGGAAAAUGGCACUUUCAGUUUUUCCAUCCUGCAAGAUCUAAAUAAUUCUUGUCGUAAAAUGGGCAAAUGGUCUGAGGUGCCUGAUGUCCAGGCAUUCUUUUACACAUCAGUCCCUUCCUAGUCUCUGUGCCCAGUGCAACUCAUCCCAAAUCUUCCUUCUUUCCCUCCCACCUGUCCCCUCAGUCCCAACCCCAAGCAUCGCUGAGUCUUUCUAAUCUUCCUUUUCUACAGACCCAUCUGACCUCUCCCCUCCUCGCCAGGCCAAGCUAGGUCCCAAUUCUUCCUCAGCCUCCGCUCCUCCACCCUGUAAUCUUUUUAUCGCCUCCCCUCCUCACACCUGGUCUGGCUUACAGUUUCGUUCAGUGACUAGCCCUUCCCCACCUGCCCAGCAAUUUAUUCUUAAAAAGGUGGCUGGAGCUAAAGGCAUAGUCAAGGUUAAUGCUCCUUUUUCUUUAUCCCAAAUCAGAUAGCGUCUAGGCUCUUUUUCAUCAAAUAUAAAAAUCCAGCCCAGUUCAUGACUCGUUUGGCAGCAACCCUGAGACGCUUUACAGCCCUAGACCCUAAAAGGUCAAAAGGCCAUCUUAUUCUCAAUAUACAUUUUAUUGCCCAAUCUGCUCCCGACAUUAAAUAAAACUCCAAAAAUUGGAAUCUGGCCCUCAAACCCCACAACAGGACUUAAUUAACCUCACCUUCAAGGUGUGCAAUAACAGAAAAAAGUUGCAAUUCCUUGCCUACACUGUGAGACAAACCUCAGCCACAUCUCCAGCACACAAGAACUUCCAAACACCUGAACUGCAGCAGCCAGGCAUUCCUCCAGAACCUCCUCCCCCAGGAGCUUGCUACACAUGCUGGAAAUCUGCCACUGGGCCAAGGAAUGCCCACAGCACGGUAUUCCUCCUAAGCCACGUCCCAUCUGUGUGGGACCCCACCGAAAAUCGGACUGUUCAUCUCACCUGGCAGCCACUCCCAGAGCCCCUGGAACUCUGGCCCAAGGCUCUCUGACUGACUCCUUCCCAGAUCUUCUCGGCUUAGCGGCUGAAGACUGACACUGCCCGAUCACCUCGGAAGCCCCCUAACCCAUCACAGACGCUGAGAUUUGGGUAACUCUCACGGUGGAAGGUAAGCCCGUCCCCUUCUUAAUACAGAGGCUACCCAUUCCACAUUACCUUCUUUUUAAGGGCCUGUUUCCCUUGCCUCCAUAACUGUUGUGGGUAUUGACGGCCAGGCUUCUAAACCUCUUAAAACUCCCCAACUCUGGUGCCAACUUAGACAAUACUCUUUUAAGCACUCCUUUUUAGUUAUCCCCACUUGCCCAGUUCCCUUAUUAGGCUGAGACACUUUAACUAAAUUAUCUGCUUCCCUGACUAUUCCUGGACUACAGCUAUAUCUCAUUGCCACCCUUCUUCCCAAUCCAAAGCCUACUUUGCGUCCUCCUCUUGUAUCCCCCCACCUUAACACAGAAGUAUAAGAUACCUCUACUCCCUCCUUGGCAACCGAUCAUGCACCCCUUACCAUCUCAUUAAAACCUAAUCACCCUUACCCCGCUCAAUGUCAAGAUCCCAUCCCACAGCACACUUUAAAAGGAUUAAAGCCUGUUAUCACUCGCCUGCUAUAGCAUGGCCUUUUAAAGCCUAUAAACGCUUCUUACCAUUCCCCCAUUUUACCUGUCCUAAAACCAGACAAGACUUACAAGUUAGUUCAGAAUCUGCGCCUUAUCAACCAAAUUGUUUUGCCUAUCCACCCCGUGGUGCCAAACCCAUAUACUCUCCUAUCCUCAAUACCUCCCUCUACUACCCAUUAUUCUGUUCUAGAUCUCAAACAUGCUUUCUUUACUAUUCCUUUGCACCCUUCAUCCCAGCCUCUCCUUGCUUUCACUUAGACUGACCCUGACACCCAUUAGGCUCAGCAAAUUACCAAGGCUGUACUGCCGCAAGGCUUCACAGACAGCCCCCAUUACUUCAGUCAAGCCCAAAUUUCAUCCUCAUCUGUUACCUAUCUCGGCAUAAUUCUCAUAAAAACACACAUGCUCUCCCUGCUGAUCGUGUCCGAUUAAUCUCCCAAACCUCAAUCCCUUACAAAACAACAACUCCUUUCCUUCCUAGGCAUGGUUAGUGCGGUCAGAAUUCUUACACAAGAGCCAGCACCGCACCCUGCAGCCUUUCUGUCCAAACAACUUGACCUUACUGUUUUAGCCUAGCCCUCAUGUCUGCAUGCAGCGGCUGCCACUGCUUUAAUACUUUUAGAGGCCCUCAAAAUCACAAACUAUGCUCAACUCACUCUCUACAUUUCUCAUAACUUCCAAAAUCUAUUUUCUUCCUCAUACCUGACGCAUAUACUUUCUGCUCCCCGGCUCCUUCAGCUGUACUCACUCUUUGUUAAGUCCCACAAUUACCAUUGUUCAUGGCCAGGACUUCAAUCCAGCCUCCCACAUUAUUCCAGAUACCACACCUGAUCUUCAUGACUGCAUCUGUCUGAUCCACCUGAUGUUCAUCCCAUUUCCCCACAUUUCCUUCUUCCCUGCUUCUCACCCUGAUCACGCUUGAUUUACUGAUGGCAGUUCCACCAGGCCUAAUCACCAUACACCAGCAAAGGCAGGCUAUGCUAUAGUACAAGCCACUAGCCUGCCUCUUAGAACCUUUCAUUUCCUUUCCAUCAUAGAAAUCUAUCCUCAAGGAAAUAACUUCUCAGUGUUCCAUCUGCUAUUCUAUCUGCUAUUCUACUACUCCUCAAGGAUUAUUCAGGCCCCCUCCCUUCCCUACACAUCAAGCUCGAGGAUUUGUCCCUGCCCAGGACUGGCAAAUUAGCUUUACUCAACAUGCCCUGAGUCAGAUAACUAAAAUACCUCUUAGUCUAAGUAGACACUUUCACUAGAUAGGUAGAGGCCUUUCCUACAGGGUCUGAGAAGGCUACCGCAGUCAUUUCUUCCCUUCUGUCAGACAUAAUUCCUCAGUUUAGCCUUCCCACCUCUAUACAGUCUGAUAACAGACCAACCUUUAUUAGUCAAAUCAGCCAAGCAUUUUUUCAGGCUCUUAGUAUUCAGUGACAGACUAAUGGUCUAUUAAAAACACACCUCACCAAGCUCAGCCACCAACUUAAAAAGGACUGGACAAUACUUUUACCACUUUCCCUUCUCAGAAGUCAGACCUGUCCUCAGAAUGCUACAAGGUACAGCCCAUUUAAGCUCCUGUAUAGAUGCUCCUUUUUAUUAGGCCCCAGUCUCAUUCCAGACACCAGACCAACUUAGACUGUGCCCCCAAAUAACUUGUCAUCCCUACUAUCUUCUCUCUAGUCAUACUCCUAUUCACCGUUCUCAACUACUCAUACAUGCCCUGCUCUUGUUUACACUGCUGGUUUACACUGUUUCUCCAAGCCAUCACAGCUGAUAUCUCCUUGUGCUAUCCCCAAACUGCCACUCUUAACUCUUGAAGUAAAUAAAUAAUCUUUGCUGGCAGGACUAUGACGAAGCUCUGUAGGCACUCUCUAAUUAGAUGUCCUAGGUCCUCCCAAUUCUUAGUCCUUUUAUACCUGUUUUUCUCCUUCUCUUAUUCCAUUUAGUUUUUCAAUUCAUACAAAACCGUAUCCAGGCCAUCACCAAUCAUUCUAUACGACAAAUGUUUCUUCUAACAACCCCACAAUAUCACCCCUUACCACAAAAUCUUCCUUCAGCUUAAUCUCUCCCACUCUAGGUUCCCACACCACCCCUAAUCCCGCUUGAAGGAGCCCUGAGAAACAUCGCCCAUUCUCUCUCCAUACCGCCCCCCAAAAAUUGUCGCCGACCCAACGCUUCAACACUAUUUUGUUUUAUUUUUCUUAUUAAUAUAAGAAGGCAGGAAUGUCAGGCCUCUGAGCCCAAGCCAGGUCAUUGCAUCCCCUGUGACUUGCACAUAUAUGCCCAGAUGGCCUGAAGUAACUGAAGAAUCACAAAAGAAGUGAAAAGGCCCUGCCCCGC
rnacentral:lncRNA from 1 species